GACGAACGCUGGCGGCGUGCCUAAUACAUGCAAGUCGAGCGGACGGAUGGGAGCUUGCUCCCAGACCGUCAGCGGCGGACGGGUGAGUAACACGUGGGCAACCUGCCUGUAAGACUGGGAUAACUCCGGGAAACCGGGGCUAGUACCGGAUAACUCUUUCCCUCACAUGAGGGAAAGCUGAAAGAUGGCAUCUCGCUAUCACUUACAGAUGGGCCCGCGGCGCAUUAGCUAGUUGGUGAGGUAACGGCUCACCAAGGCGACGAUGCGUAGCCGACCUGAGAGGGUGAUCGGCCACACUGGGACUGAGACACGGCCCAGACUCCUACGGGAGGCAGCAGUAGGGAAUCUUCCGCAAUGGACGAAAGUCUGACGGAGCAACGCCGCGUGAGUGAUGAAGGUUUUCGGAUCGUAAAACUCUGUUGUCAGGGAAGAACAAGUACCGGAGUAACUGCCGGUACCUUGACGGUACCUGACCAGAAAGCCACGGCUAACUACGUG
rnacentral:rRNA from 1 species